AAGAUGGCGACCGGCGCACGGGUGAGUAACACGUAUCCAACCUGCCGAUAACUCCGGAAUAGCCUUUCGAAAGAAAGAUUAAUACCGGAUAGCAUACGAAUAUCGCAUGAUAUUUUUAUUAAAGAAUUUCGGUUAUCGAUGGGGAUGCGUUCCAUUAGUUUGUUGGCGGGGUAACGGCCCACCAAGACUACGAUGGAUAGGGGUUCUGAGAGGAAGGUCCCCCACAUUGGAACUGAGACACGGUCCAAACUCCUACGGGAGGCAGCAUG
rnacentral:rRNA from 1 species